GUUUAUUUUUUUGCGCAUUAAGCACAGGUACAUUCCUUUACAAUGACAGAGUGUGUAAAAAUUGCCCGGGUACGGGUCCGAAGACCACCAAAAUGCACCCAAGCCAAGUGUUCACAGGUGUGUGGAUUGGUUUGCGAUCGACGUGCACAUGCGUUUCCGCCAGCACAGUCAACCGACUUUGUAACUCAGUAAUGAUCCUUCCGCAGGUUCACCUACGGAAA
rnacentral:misc_RNA from 1 species